rnacentral:lncRNA from 1 species
UGCCAUUUUAGCCAGUCGUGAGGCUUUUUCGUCUUGGUCAUUUCGGUAUCGAGUUCUAGGCGAGGUGCCUUCUACCCGUUUCCGACCAUGGCCAGACCCCUUCUCUGUCGGGAAAACUAGCUUACGCUUGACGUUGCCCACAGCCCUCGGCCAAAAAUCUUCAUGUGAUCGUUUGGACGCUGUGCUGGCAUGAACACUUAUUGCAGGUCCCAAACGAUCCUUGACAGACACUCGCGGUGUUGAUUCACU